rnacentral:rRNA from 1 species
AUGAGAGAGAGAGAAGAGAGAGUGCAGCCUGUAGCCCAGCCGGCCUCUAAGCCCAAGGCCCAGCCGCCCCCACCUUUCCCCGUAACCCUAGCCCGAACCACUCUCCCUCCCAUCGAUCCCCAUCUCUUCCUCUGGCCGCCGCACUCAUCUCUCUCCCUCGAUCCCCCUCCUCUUUUCUUCCUCGUCGCGCCGAACCAGGGAGACGCCGCCCCCGCGCCCUGUCUUCCUCCUCGCCCUGCGCGCCCGACGCCGCCCCGCGUCCUCAACUCCGGCGGCCACGUGCCCCUCCUCGACCUCGCCGCCGACAGCAGCAGCUGCUGCACCCUCGCGCCGAGCGCCGCCCCUUCGCGCCCCUCUGUCGUUCGCCUCGGGCUCCUCCGACCUUCCUCGCGCCCGAUCUGCUCCAAACCGCGCCACCGGCCAAGUUCCUCGACCUCCGCGUCGUCCCGGAGUCCCUCGCCCACCGCUGCACGGUCCAGUCGUUGCUUCUCCGAGCUGCGUCUGUACGUCGACGCCAAGUUUCGUUGCCUACUCGCCGCCAUCGCCUUAGCAGGAGCUCCGCCUCCCCUGCUUCAUGCCAAGGCCAACACCGGCCACUUCUUCCAACCGCUGCUCCGCCUCCAUCGAGCUCCAUCCCCUGCUGUCACUGGAUCGCCAAGAUGCAACCCCGACCCCGUCGGCCCCUUCCUCGUACAACGCUCAAGCCUUCAUGCCCGAGGCCUUCGUCAUCUCUCUGUGUUGCGCUGCGUGCGACCCUGUCAGCCACAUGGUCGCCACCUCUGCAGCCUCCUGCUGCUGUUUCGUGCACCUUCGCUGCCGGUUGGCGUUGACGCAAGACCAACGGCUUCAUCGUCGUUCGCCUACAUGCCCGAACCUCGAAGAUCCCGUGGAACGCCAAGUACCACUAUCCAUCUCCGAGGAUUUCUCCAAGUACCGCACCGAAACCGCCAAGUACCACUACGAUUGCGGACGCCAAGACCGGACCAACAAGUACCCCGAUGA